GUGGAUAGUUCAGUUGGGAGAGCGUCAGACUGAAGAUCUGAAGGCUGCGUGUUCGAUUCACCCCUACU
rnacentral:tRNA from 1 species